UGGGGAAUUUUGGACAGUGGGCGCAAGCCUGAUCCAGCAAUGCCGCGUGCAGGAUGAAGGCCUUCGGGUUGUAAACUGCUUUUGUACGGAGCGAAAAGGUCUGCCCUAAUACGGUGGGCUCAUGACGGUACCGUAAGAAUAAGCACCGGCUAACUACGUGCCAGCAGCCGCGGUAAUACGUAGGGUGCGAGCGUUACUCGGAAUUACUGGGCGUAAAGCGUGCGUAGGUGGUGGUUUAAGUCUGCUGUGAAAGCCCUGGGCUCAACCUGGGAAUUGCAUUUGUGACUGUAUAGCUAGAGUACGGUAGAGGGGGAUGGAAUUCAGCGUGUAGCAGUGAAAUGCGUAGAUAUGCGGAGGAACACCGAUGGCGAAGGCAAUCCCCUGGACCUGUACUGACGCUCAUGCACGAAAGCGUGGGGAGCAAACA
rnacentral:rRNA from 1 species